GAAUAAGUUACUAAGGGCUUACGGUGGAUGCCUUGGCGCUAGAUGCCGAUGAAGGACGUAGUACACUGCGAUAAGCCUCGGGUAGCCGUGUGCAGGCUUUGAUCCGGGGAUGU
rnacentral:rRNA from 1 species